ACGGAGGGUGCGAGCGUUAAUCGGAAUCACUGGGCGUAAAGCGCACGUAGGCGGUGUCGUAAGUCGGAUGUGAAAGCCCUCGGCUCAACCGGGGAACUGCAUUCGAUACUGCGAUGCUUGAGUGCCGUAGAGGUUGGCGGAAUUCCAGGUGUAGGGGUGAAAUCCGUAGAUAUCGGGAGGAACACCAGUGGCGAAGGCGGCUAACUGGGCUGUAACUGACGCUGAGGUGCGAAAGCGUGGGGAUCAAACAG
rnacentral:rRNA from 1 species